AUCGACGGCAGGGUUUGGCACCUCGAUGUCGGCUCAUCGCAUCCUGGGGCUGAAGAAGGUCCCAAGGGUUUGGCUGUUCGCCAAUUAAAGCGGUACGUGAGCUGGGUUUAGAACGUCGCGAGACAGUUGAUGACCUUGGCUGUCUUAAAACUUGGCUAUAUGCUGGAACGUCCGUCCUCUAACUGAAAAGUGAAGAGGUGAAGAAUCUGGCGCUACUUCAAACGAAGUGAAAAUGCGUCCAGCGCGGAUAAUCAGCAGGAAAGACUAGUGAAAGCUAGAAUCCUCAGAGACUAUAUGCCAGGUGCCUGCAUUGCAGGUGAAGAUAUAGUCCGAACUGCAUGGCGACAUGCAGAGGCAGGCAGAAAUGACCUGCCCGAUUCCAAAGCAUUUUGGAGUUGGUAACAGAUUGUCGGUCCCUAUCUGGUGUGGGCGUAGCAGGUUUGAGGGAAUCUGUCCUUAGUACGAGAGGACCGGGAUGGAUCCACCUCUAGUGUACGAGUUAUCGUGCCAACGGUAACGCUCGGUAGCUAAGUGGAGCAUGGAUAAACGCUGAAUGCAUCUAAGCGUGAAGCCAGACCCGAGAUUAGACCUGCCAGUGAGGCUCGUCGUAGACCACGACGUUGAUAGGGUGGGUAUGCAAGCGUAGUAAUGCGCUCAGUUGACCACUACUAAUAAGCCCCUUGGCUUGACCGU
rnacentral:ncRNA from 1 species